CCUCUGCCCCGUGCUGGACCACCUCUCCUCCUCCUGCUGCGCCGCCACCUCUCCUCCAUCAUCCGCCAAUCCCAAUCCCCUCCUCUUGGCUGCGCACCCGCGACGGAGACCGAGGAUCCCUGGCCCCGGCCCCAGGCCCUAGCCGCCGGGGAGCUGGUCUGGGCCAAGACCAAGGGCCGCCACCCGCGCGCCUCCGCCCCCUCCCCAGAAUCCUCCCUCGUCUCCUCACCCCACCGCCACCGUCAAGCCCUUCCUCGCCAUCCCCGACACCGACGCCCUCGCAAGGGCCAACACCGGCCUCGCCUUCGUUCCCCACAAGUUCCUUGCCGCCCCCGCCACCUCCUCCUCUUCCUCCCACCUCAGCCGCCUCCCCCUCCCCCCUUACCCUCUCCCCCACCCCCCUCCCGCAUCUCGUCUGCCCCGGGUGCGGAAGCGACCUUCCCGGCGAUGGCGGUGGCGCUGGAUUCGAUCUGCAGGAGAGAGGGAGAGGGGGGAGGUGUGGCUUCUAACUGGAGAGGGUCUCCGCCGGUGUCGGCCUGCACCGGCGAGGUCGGGCGUGACCUGGCUUCCAGGGCGGCUUGACUACAGUCUAUAGGUGACCACGUCCCUUUUCUCCCCUUCUCUCGUAUGUAUCUCUCUAUGUUGUUUCUCCUCCUUUCUCACACGAAGAAACACACAGAGCAGUAAACACAAUGGGAGGAUUUGGGGGCUGCUCAGUUUUGGAUAUGGGGGCUGCACGGGCUUGGAGCAGCAAGCCAUGGCAACGAAGUUGAAUAAAACACAUACUUGUACUGUAAAUAAGGUUUUUUCAUAGUGACACUGACAAAGCUUAUGCAUGAGAUAGAGCAUCAUUGUAUUUUGUGAUUCAGUUUCAUAGCAUUUAUGCCAUAGCAAGGUGCAGGGUAAAUGCUCCUCUUGACCUAUUCUAUUUUGGAAUAAGGUUGCGCCAGAUUAUAUUCAAAUGAACAUUGUAAAGUCUGUACUGUCAUGUUCUAGAUAUGUCAAAAUUUCAGACCAAACAAUCUCCCCUUCAUGAACUCUUCAUUUUUUUCUUAAUAUCAUUUAGUUUGCCAUUUGUAUUUUUGUGAUUGGUAGAUAAAAGCUUGCACAGUUGCACUUGGUGUCUAUAUUACUAUAUAUUCAGCUAAUCAUACAAGAACCGUCUUUGUAACAGAUCCAGGUUUUUAUUUUUAUCUGUCUCCAUGUACUUAAGGCCUAUGUUGUAAGGUUCAGUGGUCAAUUAGAGUUUUAAUUUCCUAGCUGUAGCUCUAAAUAAGGUUUCCUUUGUUAUGCAGUAUAUCCAUAUUAUAAUUAGAGGAGAGGAGUUGUACCGCCUUGCGCAUAAUGCAUUUUAAUUCCUUAUUUCUCACAUCCCGAAAGUCACAUUACAUCUAUGAACCAGAAGAACUAGAGAGCUGGGUCGACAUACGAAGACGCGGGAGCUAAAGCAAAUAGACUGUGAGGUUAUCAGGAUACAGGAGAAAUGGGUUAUGCUUUAGUCCUUGUAAAUGGCACUGGUUUUUCUGGUGCAAGUAAAGCCUGACAGUGGUGUACUCCAGGCAAUGUGAAGCUAGGACUUUCCUAUCAGGCGUGACCUUGUAGCCAAAUCCAUGAGGAGUCGGAGGCAGUUGCAGCAACUAACCAUGAAGCGACGGUGGAGAUCCAGUUCAUCUUUUAGGUCUGACCAGCACAAGGUGGCAACAGCAAUAGUGGAGAAGGCAUGAAGAGGCCCACGUCUGAAAAUCCGUUCUGCUGACAAAUCAAGGGAGAUGGUCUUAGCAUCCACUAUGACAAUGUUGUCCAGAACAUGGACGACUCUGGAAACUGGAAAGUAACAGAUUUUGCUUCCAGGCACACAAAGGCCACCGAUUGGAUCAGCGCGAAGAAACCCGUUCGGACCGCUGACGCAUGCCUCGCCUCAGCAACGGAUCAACCUCUGCACCUACAUCCACUUCGACAGGUCGUCAGUCAAAGCAGGUCCAUUUUACCCUCCUUCAUGCGGAUGAAUCUGAUCAAGUUUAUUUCAAAUUCCAAUCUAGAGUAGUUACACUUUUUCGCCUCUGCCUGCCUGCUUCUAGCAGGGUUGCAUUUCUCCAGUUUUCACAGCUUCAAAUCACUACCUACGAAUUGCGUAUGCGAUUCAUCAUCGUUCAAUUACCCCGUACCCUAUGUGAAUUAUAUUCUGAAGUACAGGUUGACAACAACCUACUAGUUGUACAUACUUUUCUAGCUGGUACACAGUAAAAAGAAAGGGCUUGAGUAAAUGCACAUUGUUCAUUUCAUAUCUCUCAGAAGUUCCUGCAUUUAUUUUCCAGUAGCCAUAAUCAAUGUCAGUCAAACACUUUGAAGGUUUUACACUUUUAUUUGGUAUCCUACUGCGCUGCAUGAUAACAUCCACAUUUACACGUAGUUUAGGCCCAGUAAAGCAUUUCCCCCCUGGUUUCUUCAGCUUGCAAGAAAGGUUAUGGAUUCUGGGUUGACAUUCUAUUUAUUAAAAAGGUGCCUACAUGAAAAAAAUCGUUGAAAAGCCAAGUGAGACACAAUAACUGUCCACCCAAAUCAUUGUGCUGGCUCAACGCCCUCUGCGACACAGAGGCUGGCGGGCUCUCUCUCUGCACCGGCCAAUCCGGCGAGGGUGCUGUCCUGUGAAUUUGCCCGAAUUCUGAAACUAUUGCAUGUGCACUAUAUGUAUGAUGGAAGGUUUCACUUAAGAAGUGUCCAAACUGAGGUACUAGUUAACUGGCAUACUUUAUGGAAGAGACAUUCGCCCUAACCUGCAACUCCACCAGUCAUAUAGAAGCACAUAUAACUGAUUUGUUGCUAUCUGAGACCAUUAUUUUAAUUGUGAAUCUUAUUUUUCUUUACCUCUAGGCCAUGAACCAUCUUACCCUCAAAUCAGAAUUCAUGUUUUUUGCUCCUAUUUUGUUCCUUACCAGUGAUAGUGCAGCUUCCUAAAGGCAUAAAGCUCCCGGGAAGGUAUAUCCGUACAGUGAACUGGAUUAUGCAUUAAUCGGUUGAUUCAGAGCUCUUGUAUCUUGAGUGGCAUUCACCUUUGGGCAAUUCAAGCGACCACAUGUCAUGGUCUUCUUAUCGACGUCUGACUGUUGAAAAGAGUUCUUAUGUGGGUUCUGUUUUAAUGUCUUUAUGCUUGUGAAGUACACGGUGGAGGCGCGCAUGGUUGAUGAUUAUGUUCUGGGUUGGCCAUUGAGAGGGAGGCCGAAGCAAACUCCAUCAGGUUUCAGCUACUUCAGGUUAGGCGGGAGAAAUAAAAAGGGUGACCAUAGAUAUAUGGUCUAGCAUCACGAGGUUCAGGUAACUGCUGUUGACCAACCGUUGCUUCGGUCAAGUUAGAGAUUAAAGAAGACUGAAAUUAUGGGCUCGCAGCGAGGAUUGCUGUGUCCAACCUGCACAAGAAUGCCAAGAAGUCCUUCUCCGAGACGAUUAAGGACAUGUACCUGCACUACAAUGAGUGAUCUGGGCUGCUUCUUUGUGGCUUCCAAACUUGAAAUGUUUUUUGGAAGUUAGUUUAGUUUUUUGUUGUGGAUUCACAGCUUCUCACAUGUACCAUUCUCUUAGACCUUUAGAUUUCCAAAGAAACUAUAUGAAGAUAUGGUGGUAUGGUCUCAAUAGUACAACUUAAAGCUUUCCAUGCUUUACAUUUUCUUUGAAAUAUGCUCUUGAAGAAUCAUGUAUCCAUGUUAGAUCUGGUGAGAAAAGACGGCUUCCAAGCAGAGGAUGCGGGAGUGUUGGCCACAUUUGGUUUUUGACUUGGGUGUAAAUAUUCUCACAAUACUUGGCUCCUUCUCGGCCUUUGCGCCAUUGGCGCAACGAGUCAUCUAGUCAUUUUAAAUUGUGUAAGUACGAAA